AUGUUUUCCAUUCAAGUUAGGGUUAGGAGGCCAUUCUCUUCCUCUUUCUCAAUAUCCUUAUCCCACACCAUCUUCCCUCACCCACUUUUAUUUUUAAGGGACCCCCUACUAAGCCAAGACCACACAUUCUCAUCUCUGAUCUAUUCAUUUUCUUUUUUUACUUUUGAGAUAAUUAUUUUAAUAUUUAUAUAUUCAAAUACAGAUUUUUUUUUCAGACACUUUAUUUAUUUAUUUUAA